rnacentral:rRNA from 1 species
AAGUAUAUGCAUAUUUUAUAUGUAGAAACUGCGAACGGCUCAUUAAAACAGUUAUAAUCUACUUGACAUUUUUUCUAUAAGGAUAACUACGGAAAAGCUGUAGCUAAUACUUGCUUUAGCACUCUUGAUUAAGUUCUUGAGUGUGUACUUGUUAAGCCUUUUAAGAAAAAAGUUAUUAACUUAAGGAAUUAUAACAAAGAAGUAACACGUAAUGGAUCCGUCCAUUUUUAGUGUGUAUCAAUCGAGUUUCUGACCUAUCAGCUUUUGAUGUUAGGGUAUUGGCCUAACAUGGCUAUGACGGGUAACGGGGAAUUAGAGUUCGAUUCCGGAGAGGGAGCCUGAGAAAUAGCUACCACAUCUAAGGAAGGCAGCAGGCGCGUAAAUUACCCAAUUCUAAAGAAGAGAGGUAGUGACAAGAAAUAACAAUACAAGGCCAAUCUGGCUUUGUAAUUGGAAUGAUGGGAAUUUAAAACCUUCCCAAAACUCAAUUGGAGGGCAAGUCUGGUGCCAGCAGCCGCGGUAAUUCCAGCUCCAAUAGCGUAUAUUAAAAUUGUUGCAGUUAAAACGCUCGUAGUUGAAUUUCAAAGAAUCGAUAUUUUAAGUAACGCUUUUAGCUUAAUCCACAUAACUGAUACUACGUAUCGACUUUGUGCGCAUUUUGCUAUUAUGUGUUCUUUUAAUUAAAAUGAUUCUUUUUAAGAUCUUUUUUUGUUUCGGCAUUGAAAGGUCUUGUUACUUUGAGUAAAUUAGAGUGUUCAAAGCAAACAGAUAUAGCAUUGCGCGUUUGAAUACUACAGCAUGGAAUAACAAAAUUGAACAAGUCAGAAUUUUGUUCUUUUUUCUUAUUUUGGCUUAGUUACGAUUAAUAGGAGUAGCUUGGGGGCAUUUGUAUUCAGAUGUCAGAGGUGAAAUUCUUAGAUUUUCUGGAGACAAACAACUGCGAAAGCAUUUGCCUAAAAUACUUCCAUUAAUCAAGAACGAAAGUUAAGGGAGUGAAGACGAUCAGAUACCGUCGUAAUCUUAACCAUAAACUAUGCCGACUAGGCUUUGGAUGAAAGAUUUUAAAAUAAGAGUUUUUCUCUUCGGAGUUAAACUCUUAGAUUGCUUCCUUCAGUGCCUUAUGAGAAAUCAAAGUCUUUGGGUUCUGGGGCGAGUAUUCGCGCAAGCGAGAAAGUUAAAAGAAUUGACGGAAGGGCACCACCAGGCGUGGAGCUUGCGGCUUAAUUUGACUCAACACGGGAAAACUCACUAGUUUAAGACAAGAGUAGGAUUGACAGAUUAAUAGCUCUUUCUUGAUUUCUUGGAUGGUGAUGCAUGGCCGUUUUUAGUUCGUGAAUAUGAUUUGUCUGGUUAAUUCCGAUAACGAACGAGAUCUUAACCUGCUAAUUAGCGGCAAAUACGAUAUAUUCUUAUGUGGAAUUGAAUACGGUUGAUUUGCUUAUUUUGAAGAGAAUAUUGGAAUGCGUAAAGUGUUCCUUUCCCUU